rnacentral:rRNA from 1 species
CCGUAGCCUGGUAGCGGGGGAUAACUAUUGGAAACGAUAGCUAAUACCGCAUAAGAGUAGAUGUUGCAUGACAUUUGCUUAAAAGGUGCAAUUGCAUCACUACCAGAUGGACCUGCGUUGUAUUAGCUAGUUGGUGGGGUAACGACUCACCAAGGCGACGAUACAUAGCCGACCUGAGAGGGUGAUCGGCCACACUGGGACUGAGACACGGCCCAG